UUAUACAGAUGCUCAUCUCUGCCAAAACUCACGUGACUACAACGCAAACACAGCAUCACAGUUCAUCACUUUACUUUAAUUGCUUCUUCACUCUGGAUUAACCAACAGAAGCUGAAGGAAUGGCAGACAUUACUCAGACACCUGUGAACACUGAGCAGUGGUUGGAGUCCAAGACAGUGAAAUCAUCUUUAUUAUACUUCUGACUGAACUAGCAAGGAGCAUUAGAGACAAUGAGAAAAACUCAAAAGAAGAUACUUUGAAGAAUGCUGGUAAUCAAACCCAACAAGUUUGUCAGGUGCAGAAAUAAAAGCUCCCAAACAAAGAUGUCACCGGAUUAAGAUGUGGAAAGACAUGUUACACCACAACAACUAUAAAUCCUGAGUAAUUUGAAUAUGGGCAACAACCAAGAAAAAUUACCCAUUGAUUUAGUCAGAAAUGA
ensembl:lncRNA